UCUCCCCGAAAUAGCUUUAGGGCUAGCCUCAAGGUGAGAGAUACGGAGGUAGAGCACUGAAUGUCCUAGGGGGUAUUGCACCUACCGAAGACUAUCAAACUCCGAAUGCCGUCAUCUUAUACUUGGGCGUCAGACUGUGGGUGAUAAGAUUCAUAGUCGAAAGGGCAACAGCCCAGAUCGUCAGCUAAGGUCCCUAAAUGUAAGUUAAGUGGUAAAGGAUGUGGGAUUGCACAGACAACCAGGAUGUUGGCUUAGAAGCAGCCACUCAUUCAAAGAGUGCGUAAUAGCUCACUGGUCGAGUGAUCCUGCGCCGAAGAUUUCCGGGGCUAA
rnacentral:rRNA from 1 species